GAUGAACGCUGGCGGCGUGCCUAAUACAUGCACGUCGAGCGAACAGACGAGGAGCUUGCUCCUCUGACGUUAGCGGCGGACGGGUGAGUCACACGUGGAUACCCUACCUCUUAGACUGGGAUAACUUCGGGAAACCGGAGCUAAUACCGGAUAACAUGUUGCACCGCAUGGUUCAACAGUGACAGAAGGUCUUGCUGUCACUUAUAGAUGGCUCCGCGCCGCAUUAGCUAGUUGGUAAGGUACCGGCUUACCAAGGCAACGAUGCGUAGCCGACCUGAGAGGGUGAUCGGCCACACUGGAACUGAGACACGGGCCAGACUCCUACGGGAGGCAGCAGUAGGGAAUCUUCCGCGAUGGGCGAAAGCCUGACGGAGCAACGCCGCGUGAGUGAAGAAGGUCUUCGGAGCGUAAAACUCGGUUAUUAGGGAAGAACAAAUGGGUAAGUAACUAGGCACGUCGUGACGGGACCUAAGCAGAGAGCCACGGCGAGCUACGUG
rnacentral:rRNA from 1 species